rnacentral:pre_miRNA from 1 species
UCACCUGGUGAUCCUGUGAAUAUGGAGAUUCUGAUUCAGUGGGCCUGGAAUGGAGCCUGAGAUUCUGCAUUUCUAACAAGCUCCCAAGAGAUACC